rnacentral:lncRNA from 1 species
GAAAAUUCCCCUCCUUCUGCAGUUCAUGGUGUUCUUCUAAACUAUUUAUAAAUAGGUCUACUGUAGCCAGUGUUUGCAUUUGGACUGCUUCACUGUUCUCGUUUUCAAGGCUUCUCUUAGAUCUGACAGUAAAGGUCAUGUUGACUCCCCUCAUCUGAAAUGAAGAGGGGAAGAAAAUUAACCCUGUAGUCAGGUGGCUCAAAGGCAGUAAUUCCCAUCAACGUGAGCAAGUUCUCCGUCGUGCGUGGCUGGGGCAGAGCGCCGGACCCACUCUCCCUUUUGCUCCAUUUUCGUUUCCCUGCCCUCUCCAUUAGCUGCUGACAGUUUUAGCUUCCUACGUCCAUUUAAAGAGAUUCCCCCCGCACAUCAUCUGGGAUUCAUGAACUGCAGAGAUCUGGCUAUUUUCAACUUUAAGCCACAGUUAAUCCAUGACCUUAGUGCUUUUGUCUCCAGGUCUGAAUUAUGAUUCCUGCCAAGUGGACACAAAGACAACUGAAGCAGGAAUGUACCCCGUACUCUGCAGUGCCCACUGCAAUGGCAGGACUCAGAUACCUCUUUUCUUGGAGCAGCUCAGCAGAAGAACAGAAAGAUGUCAUUUCUGGCAUGGAUCACCCAGCGGCACGUCCCUGGAAGAUGGACUGGUGCUCAGGUGCUGAGGUUUCAGGUCAGACAGAACCCAUGGGGAUGCUUCUUCAUGCACCAGCCUGGCUCCAUCCAGCUCGCCAGCACCAAAAGGAGGCAUCCGACCCCCCCACGGCACAGGCAACUCCGCUGCUUGUCCUGCUCCUGCUGACUCUUUCGCUGACUGGCAGCAGCCUGGUGUUGCUCAACGCUCCCAAUUUCUUAACGUGUGUGUGA